CCGGACGCACAGGCGCAGCAGCCAUGGCUCACGGGCCCAGCCGCUCCGCAGCAUGUGGGAUCUUCCCGGACCGGGGCACAAACUCAUGUCCCCUGCAUCGGCAGGCAGACUCUCAACCACUGCGCCACCACGGAAGCCCCUGACGAGAUUUUUUUUAAAUAACAUUUCAGUUGGGUGACUUCCUGUCCUCUGUCAGAAGUAUUCCAGAUGACAUUCCUACUGGUGAUGAUGGGGGCCACAUCAGUCUGUCAGUUACUUUGGACCACUGAUUUUGCUGCAGGGUUCUCUGCAGUACGGAACAGCCCCCCACCUUCUCUGCCUUGGGAACAGUGCACUCUCCUUUUGGUGACCUGGAUUGCGUGCGUAUACGGAGGCUGGGAGGGUUCAGGACCAUGUUCCCUUUCUUUAGUCACAUGUAUUCUAUUUGAAAAGCGUAAGAGCCAGAAAUACAAGUGUACCCUUCCUGGUGUGGACCCAGACGUCUGUGAACACGUAAGUGACUGGGACUGGACACAGUGUGAUGGCUCCUGAGCUCACCUGGCUUAGAGGAUGCAGGUCACUUUAGGAAAUUAGGCAUUAGCACUCAUAAGGGGGAAGAUGCCUGGCAAAAUCCCCAGAUGCCCUGCGUCCAGCACAUGGGGAAACUAGCCAUAGCAAGGUCCUGAGAAUUACCCCUCCAGGCACAGGUACCUAAAGCAGGAUGUCAGGUGGACAGAAUCUGUAUUUCCUGUUCAUGCACAAAUCAGGAGGUUCCUCUGCCCUCCUGCUUUCUCUCCCCUCCCCUACUCUAUCUUUUUUUAAAGAGCUUAAACUCCAACCCCACUCCUUUCGUGGACCCUUAAUAAGCGAGCCUGUUUGUACGGUUCUUUACAAGAAACCUGAAUUUUGAUUUCCGUGCUGGUCUUAGUCCUCAGCUGGUUUUCCAGCUCAGUAUCUAACAAAACUCGGUCUGAAUGUCUUCAUCUUUUCCCUUAAGUAUGCCAAGUACCUCAGCUGAGAAGUCACAGGUUCAGGAAGAAAGGCUUGACUCAAACCAGCCAUCUUCCUGGAAUUUGUCUCUGAACUCUUUAAAAACCAAAAUCCCGAGCUGCAGUGUCCAUGUCGCUGCCUGAGUGGUGUCCCUUUGCCGCCGCAUGGAGCUAUGGGCUCUUCCCUCUUCUCCAGGCUCCUCUGCAGUCUCUCCUCCUGUUAAUUAGCUGUGUCAGCGUUGGCAGGCACCUCUCUUCCUCCCCCCUGCUAUGCUGUGUUCUUAAGAAUUUUGGCGUCAUUUCUGAACAAAUGUCAUAUAGAUGGCACUAUGGAACUCAUGUCUAGAAAACUGGCUCUUAACAUAUGUUUAUCAAAUGUGUUGUGACUUUUCUGACACUAACGCAGAAACAUGUUAAUCGGGAAUAAUUUAUUCUUUAUAUAAAACGUUUGAGACUGUUUAGCCUUUUAUCGGAAUUUCAUUUGGAAAAUAUCAGUCUUUCUACAGAUUUAUAACCUAUGUUCCUCUGAUUAUAACCCAAACCAUUUCUUAACCCUUUCAUUACUUAAGCAAAUAUUCAAUUACAUUUUACUGUAAAUAGAGUGGGCAUAUUUUUAUGAUCUAAAAUAAAAUAGUUAAUUCUCUAUAUGUGACUAAUAUACUUUUCUAUCUGUUCCAAUUGAAUGUGAAAACUAGAACAACUUCUGCCUUCGCUGUGUUUCAACUAUUAUUCCCUCCGAUUGUGAAUGGUAACAUGGCUAUAUUAUUUUUUAAAUCGAAUACCUAAACAUUCGGAUUUGCAUAGAGGAUACAUUUGAAAGUGAUUGUUUGAUUUACAAAAUAAAUUUUUUACUCUUCAAAAGAUUUCUUUUUGCAUGCUCAUGUAAAGUGCUUUAACUCCUUGCUUGAGGGGAAAUGAGGUUUAUACGCAAGUUUUUAACAACUGCUGAAGAUUCAGGUUACAGGUGAUAAAAUCCAAAUCAGACUAGCUUGAGCAAAGAAUUUGCUUUUCUUGGCUUACAUGAUCAAAGUUCAGGAAGAGCAAAACGAAAAUGCCAUCAGAACUCACCUCCCGGCACCUCACACCUCCGCUUUUUCUCUCAAACCAACUUCACGUGUGGAGGAGCAGCCAGCACAUGCCCGAAGUCUUAGGAUGGGAGAGUUCCACUUUGGAAAAGCCUGGAAGGAAGAAUCCAGAGCAAGUAGCUAAGGUAGCAGCCAGAGGAAGGGUCCUGGGAGGGUCCUCCAUGCUUCUGCCCCAGGACCUGUUCAGCAAAUGUGCCACCCCUGAAAAGUUGGACUCUUCUGAGUUUCCUGCAAAAGCUGAUCUUCCACGGGACAGAUGUCUGCUCGAGAGGAAAGCAAAGGAACGUGUUGGGAAAGUGGAUAAAUGAAAGCCUGGAAAUUAAUUUUCUCCAACCGUAAAUCUUAACUAAAGUUAGAGAGUCACAUAAAAACUGCCUAGGUUUGAGGGGGAGCCGUAAAGUUUCCCAAAGGCCCUACAUGAUCUGCAAACCCAGUCUUCGUGUGAAAAUGGUGUCCCAGGUGUUGGUCAUCCAUCUGCCUUCUCACCUCAAUCCCACGUUCGCAUCUGUGGUGUGCAGACAAACUAAAAACCUGUUCUUUGCCAUGGAUCUUUGAUUUCUUUAAAAGUAAGAAAAUUGUUUUAAAGAAAGACAUUUUCUAGGAACAGCUUUGUCUCUGGAAUCUAAACCCCUGGCAUUCCACAGCAGAGUCUCACCACCGUUCAGUGUGCUGGCAGCCAUGUCUCUACUUUAGUUCUGCAGUUUCCACUGGAGAAUCAGACUAAGACAUCGGCAAGGGAUCGUGGUGGCCACCGUCAGCCACAGAGUCUGAGCCCGGGCAUUUCUAACAAAUAGGGAGCAGUGAGCUUCUGCUCUUUCACAUUUUGCAGACGAGGAAAUCAAGGCAGAGAGAGUUGAAAUAACUUGCCCGAGAGUACCCAGCUGCCAAGUGGUGACUCCAGAUUCAAACCCAAGGAUUCUGACUCCAAAGAAUAGAGACCCUACCCAACUGAGAGCACUUGAGCACAGGCUCCGGAUGCGCAGGCUCAGCGGCCAUGGCUCACAGGCCCAGCCGCUCCAUGGCAUGUGGGAUCUUCCUGGACCGGGGCACGAACCUGUGUCCCCUGCAUCGGCAGGCGGACUCUCAACCACUGAGCCACCAGGGAAGCUUGAACACGUUUUGUAAGCUGUAAACCCAUACGUGCAUGGAAACAUAAUGUAGUCCAUGUGUAUUAACUGGAAUCCUACUUACACCGCCACCCAAGCAAGUCCGUUUCCCUUAGCUUGCUCCCUAGCAGCCGCCCCAGAGCACCGACACAGACGAUGCAGUAUCCCAGCAAAAGAACUUAAUCCUCUGAAUGGCUACUGUAUAGAUUGCAGUAGGUAUUAGAGGAAUAUAGAGGACCUAGUGGGAAUAAGUGUUAUACCACAGCAGCCUUUCAUAUAAAUCCCAGGGUGAUUGUGACUAUUCACAUUUUUCUUUGGAGGUCUUUCUAUAAAAGGAUUGGUACUGGCAUGGAGCCCACUGUCCAAGCCUUAGAUUCAUCUAAAGUUUAGGCCUUAACUAAUUCCUUACUGUUUAGUUCUGCACCCUUCUUUCUGUGACACGAUCAUCAACUAGGAUAUUUCACUCUUAAUCAACCAAGUCAACCAUCGGCAGCACUUUUCAAAAACUUCAGCCACUUUUCAAGUUUCCCAGGAAGCUGGGCUACCCAAAUCCUGACCAGGCCCUUGGGAAUGCUCACAUCCUUUCCAAAUUCUGCUUUAUUUGUGUGAAACCUUUCUUGCUUCCUCUCAGCUUUCCAUGGAAACCUUGUGUCUCGUCCUCUUCUCAAGCAAAGCAAGACUUCAGAUCUCAAGGAGGUGGGAGGAAGAGUAGGCACACAGGGCACACCAUGCUUUCACCCCAAAUGUUUGUAUAUAUUAUACACACACACACACAACUGCACGAGAAUAGGCACGUCCACAGAGACAGGAAGGGGACUGAUAGUUGCCUGGGGCUGGGGGCUGUGGGAAAAUGGAGAGUGAAAGCUAAUUCUACUGUUUCUACAGGGUUUCUGUUUGGAGUGAUGAAAAUGUUCUAAAAACCAAUUUGGGUGAUGGUUGUACAACUUGGUGAAUGUAAUGAGAACCACUGAAUGGCAUAUUUUAAAUGGGUAAAUUGUAC